CGUGGCUUCGGCCAGCCAGAACCCGGGGCCAGUGACGGGGCCGCUGCCCGCACGUGGCUGGAGGGGCUCCACCGGGACCCGCCUGGCGCCACCGGCGAAGCAGCCGGGGCUGGACGUCGCUGUGGGGCAGGUGGGGGUCAGCGCAGCGGGGUCCUGCCCCGGGACAGGUCACUGCACGGCCGUACGUGCUGGGCACCUCUCCCGCUACGGCAGCGUUCGUCUCGCCUAUCGCUAAUUGUUCUUCACGUUCAGCCAGGGGGACCGAGCGGAUCGCUCCCGCGCCCCGGGGCCCGGCUGUGGCCCCGCAGCACGGCCCAGCCCCCUCCUCCCCUGCGCCCACAACGGCGUUUUCUGCGGUCCCCGGGCUGCCCGCGAGCGCGGAGCUCGCAGCCCGGCCCAGCAGCGGAGCCCCCGGGAGCCGCUGCGCCCUCGUCCCGGGCCCCAGCCUGCAAACGGUGCCCGGCAAACGCCAACCAGACCCCGCGGCUGGAGGCCUCGUGUAAGGGGCUGCUGACCAGGCUUCAGCGACUUUGAUAGCGUCAAGGACUGGAAAGUAAAUACUUCUGCUAUAAAUCUUGUCUGCUUUAAAGUAGGUUAUACUUUCAAAGCACUUUAGUUCUGAGGAAUUUAAUAUUGAGAUGUCAAUUGUAAGACAAGUAAUUGGAUGGGGAGAAGGUUGUUACCGGCACCUGAGAUUAAAGGCAGGAUUUGAAAUGCUGUGUUGCAUGCAGGUGGGUGUUUUUGUUCGCUGCAAAUACGACUCUGGAGGGUUUGCAGGCAGCGUUUCCAUUUGAUGUCGGCUCUGCUGCUCCCCGGGCUUUGCUGCGCCUGGGCCGUGUCCUGCCGUGGCUUGAGCACGGGCUGAGUCGUGGAGACGAAGGUCAGAAGAGAAACGUGUUUCCUCACGAAAGCUCUUGCACGAGGCUCCCCCAGCGCUGUGUCCCCACCGGGACCCCAGAGAGCCCCCACGCCGGAGGGGCGAGGAGCUGCCGCGGGGUUUGCAGGGGGUCCCGGGCGCCUCGGCCGGUGCUGUCGGGGCGCGGGUCCCCGUGGUCCUGGUGCUGCGGGGGGGUCGGCGGUGGCCGGAGGGCGGGUGGGAGGUGUGAGCAGGACGCUUUCGGGGCCGGCGCUCGGCCCUGCCGGCUCCCUGCUCGCCCUGUGACACGAGGCGAGUGUCUGAGACACGGCAAGAGGCCGAGGGAGCCGCUGGCCCGGAGUCUGGGCACGGCUCCCGGCGCGAUCCGCUUCUGUGGGGAGGGGCAAGGGCAACCGGCGCCGGCAGAGCCCGCAGGCCCCUCGUGCUGAGCCCGCAGAGCGAACGCCCGGCAGCACCCGGGGCUGAGCCCCCGCAGGGAGCCGGUGUCCAGCCGGGGGGCUGCGCCCGCGGGACGGCUCCGCCGGGGCAGUUCGCGCUCCCUGACGCCGCCGGGUGCUCGUCCACGGGGCUCUGUGUCCGUGCGAGGGAGAAGAUCCAGACCCGCGCUUAAUCCUCCCUGUGAGUGGGUUGCUUUAAUCUCACUGAGCAGUUUAUAUUGUAGGUUAUUAAAAGGGCUUUGCGCCCACGCUGGGAGAGACCCGGGCUGCUCCCAGGGAAGCCUCUGCCUCCCCGCCGCCCUCCCUCACCCGCUCCUGCCUAGGGAUGGAGUUUCCGACGUCCCGUGGACGAUGUUUUCCUGGCCUGUCCCUUUCCAAAUCACGAGCCGCGCUGGCGUGAGCCAGCAUCCAGUGCCUGAGGUGAGCAGGGGCUGGCGGGACCCCGGCUGUGCCCGCCGGGCCGAGCCGGAGCUGCCGCGAGCCCCGAGCCCGGCUGAGACCCCGCGGCUGCCGGAGUUCUGGCCGGGGCGAAGCGGCGCCGGGGAUCAGGCGCCCGGUGGGUGCUCCCAGCCGAGGGUGUGCAGGAGCGCCCCGAUCCUGCAGCCCCGUCAUCUCCCAGUGCCCCUUCGCCCAGCCUAGCCAAGUGCAAGGCUGUGUGCGGAGGAGACAGACCCUUUUCAGGGGGCAUUUCUGAAGGCAAGCGGAACAAAUGAGCAGCACGCCGUGCUGGGGACCAGGCAGGACACUCGCCAUCCAAAAGAACAACGCAGUGCAGAACAUGGCAGAAGCUGUGCCCGCACCAGCACAGGCGAUGGCAGGAGCCGGCAGACCCCUCCUGCCCCGGGGGCUCUGCCAGCCGCAGCCAGGGAGCCGGUCGGUGGGGACCUGCAGGCAUCAGCUCCCAGCUCCGGCGUUUUCACCGGCUAAUCAGCCAGAAGAGGGAACGGCUGCCCAUCCGCUUCCCGCACGGGUGCUCAGCUCGGAGCGGCCCUGCCCGGCGGCCCGGUGCCCUGCGAGGCGACACGUCCCCGCGGGGACCCCUCUGCCCUGGCGCUGCCGGACCCUCUGAGCUGGCCCACGGCUCCCCCGGGGAGGCAGCGCUCGCGCCAGCGCGCCGGCCAGUUUGACGAUCACACCUCAAACCUCCAGGAAAUGACGGAGUCGGUUGCAGACCGUCCCCGACCCCCGGGUAAGGCAGCGCUGAGCCAUGGGGAGCUGAGCCGUGCCGCCGCAACGUGCCGCUCUCGCGGCGGCUGGGAUCGCCGCUGCAGGGCCCGGGGGAGGGUUUGUCACAGCGGUACAGCUCGGUCAGGGCGCUGCGGUGACAUCCUACAGCAUGAGCCUGGGUGGCCUCAGAUCUCUCCAAAACACUAGAGAUAUUCUGGCUCUGGGAAUUGAUUUCUCACUUUACUGUGUCAGAGGCUGUUUAAAAUAGCUGCUGUCAGCAUCCCAGAGUUAAUGUGCGCUGGCGGGAGGUGGGAAGGGGCUGCCCAUCCUCAUCCUCACCCAGCCACGCUCCGUGGGGAAGGGGCUGCCCAUCCUCAUCCUCGCCCUGCCACGCUCCGUGGGGAAGGGGCUGCCCAUCCUCAUCCUCACCCUGCCACGCUCCGUGGGGAAGGGGCUGCCCAUCCUCAUCCUCGCCCUGCCACGCUCCGUGGGGAAGGGGCUGCCCAUCCUCAUCCUUACCCAGCCACGCUCCGUGGGGAAGGGGCUGCCCAUCCUCUCCCUCGCCCUGCCACCAGCCUCCUGCUCGCAGCCGUCCUGCCCGCGCCUGCCGCACAAAGCAGGCAGCACCGCCUGGCAGGCUUUGCCACGCUCCUCCUCGAGACCCAGAAACGGCCUUUUUCCCCCAGCAGUGUCUUUGGAAGGUGGUUUGCAGUGCCGUUGUCCCCGUGCAGGCUGGUGUCACCCCAGCAGCGGAUGCGCGGCGUCCCCUGCCCGGGCAGCGCCUGCGGCCGGGCUCCUGCCCGGGGGGGGACGGACGGUGUCACCGACGUCCCCGGGCCGGGACCGGGUGUCCGCUCCUGUUCACCUGGCAGUGAUAUAUAACACAAUGCACCUACCCGCUAGGGCUCUCAUUUCCCAGGUUUAAAAAUAGUUAGAGGCAUUAUAAACAACCUUGCACAGAACAGGACUUAAAACUUGUUUUUCAUCCUAUCUGUGCUCCUCGUGGGAAUGAAUGCUCUUAUCUCCUUUCUGUGCUUGGCUUACUGCUCUGUGCAGGAGAGGAACACGAACAAUGCAGCACAUCCAGCACCCAGCCUCACGUGAAGGAAAUGAUCUAUUUAUUUAUUUCUGCUUCUGUGAUGCUCCAGGUUCUUCAGGGGCCCCAAGAUGAAGCAGCAGCCAUCAGAGAAUCGCUUGGAGCCUGUUACCUACCAGGCAGUAGCUUUCAAAAAAAGUCUGCUUACAGAGGGCAGGCUCUGUCUCUUUCUCAAGAGCUCCGUCCAAAUCCAAGCUCUGUCUGGCAGUCUCCACGUUAAUAAACGCUCGCACAUUA